AUGGAUGGUCCAGAACGGCCUCUGUGUGGGGAAGCCGGGUCUCCUCCACAUACUCACUCACCGCCCCCCCCAGGCUUGCCCAGGCUUGUUCUCGAGGUGGAAACAGAGCGACAGGGAGAGCAGAAGCUGCAAAGCGUUUUGAGGUCUAGGCUCGGAGCUUGGCACAGCAUGACUUCUGCAACCUUCUUUUGGCCAAACCAAGUUUGGAAGCCGGUUCGGUCUACCAUUAUCCCUCCCUGCAAUAACACGGUGCCAGGCACGGGAGGAGACGAGGAGGAGGAGGGAGUCUGCUAAGAAGCUUCUGGCUCCAACGGCCUUUGCUCGGGGCCACUACGCAUUCCGGGUGCCGCAUUCCAGAGGGGAGCCCUCCAGGCCCACGUUCCUGCCUCUUCUGAAGAGGUGGGCACCCCUUCCUCCUGGACGCACCGUUGUGGACCAGACCAGUGUGGGUUUGGAUCCUGCACCAACCGUUUUCCAGGAGCCUGGGGCAGCUUCAUGUCCUCCUCUGCACAAUGGAGGUGGCAGUGUCCGUGUCCUGGGACUGGUGAGAAGACACAGUGGAACACUGGAGUUACGGGGUCUCAGAAAAUGCUGCUCCAGAGCCUUCCUCAUACGACUAUGAUCACACUUAUCACGGGGAAUGACUGUCUUCUGCCUCCCGUGCCCAUCCAUGGGCCCCUCGGGAGUAAAGACGGUGUCUUAGACAUAGGGCCACCCCCCUGCCCGGUCCAGGAGCCCCUCCCACCUCCGGGCUGGUGACCAGCGCCCCCUGGAUGUGUGCAGAAGGCAGGCAGCUCUGCUUUCGGCUGAAUCCCAGCUCCCCUCGUGGGGCCUGGCAGGUGUUCCCUCCAUGCUUCACCUGUGACUCGUUCAUGCAUUCAUGCAUUCAUUCAUUCAUUCAUUCAUCCAUAAAUAUUUGUUGAUGCCACAUCAUUUUCCCCGCCUAUAAAGCAGGCAGUGAGGGGAGGACAAGACGGCUCCUUCUUGCUCUACAUGCCAUGGUUUGGGGAGACUGAGAUAAGGCCCCCCUUUUCCCUGAAAGUGGUGUUCUUAUCCGAUGCCUGACGUUCCUCCUGAAGACAGAAGCCGUGGCAGCCCCCAGUCAUGAGGACCGGGACACUUGCUGGGGUGGGACAGUUUCUUAAGACCAGUAGCUGUGCGGGGAGUGGAGCAAAGCCCCGGGCAUGCGGGGUAGGGGGGUGGAGGAAGCAG
rnacentral:lncRNA from 1 species